GUCCACGCCCUAAACGAUGUCUACUAGUUGUCGGGUCUUAAUUGACUUGGUAACGCAGCUAACGCGUGAAGUAGACCGCCUGGGGAGUACGGUCGCAAGAUUAAAACUCAAAGGAAUUGACGGGGACCCGCACAAGCGGUGGAUGAUGUGGAUUAAUUCGAUGCAACGCGAAAAACCUUACCUACCCUUGACAUGUACGGAAUCCUGAAGAGAUUUAGGAGUGCUCGAAAGAGAGCCGUAACACAGGUGCUGCAUGGCUGUCGU
rnacentral:rRNA from 1 species